GAAAGCAAAAGCGAUUCCCUGAGUAGCGGCGAGCGAAAUGGGACCAGUCUAAACUCUAUUUUUUAGAGGGUUGUGGGACAAUGUUAAUAAAGUCAAUAAGUUAGGUGAAGCAGCUGGAAUACUGCACCAAAGAGAGUGAAAGUCUCGUAUUCGAAAACUAUUAUAGCUUUAAAUUGUAUCCCAAGUAGGAAGGGACACGUGAAACCCCUUUUGAAUUUGCGAGGACCACCUCGUAAGACUAAAUAUUCCUGAAUAACCGAUAGUGAACCAGUACCGUGAGGGAAAGGUGAAAAGAACCCCGGGAGGGGAGUGAAAUAGAACAUGAAAUCGUAAGUUUACAAGCAGUAGAAGAGCGACUUAACGCUCGACUUCGUGCCUGUUGAAGAAUGAGCUGGCGACUUGUAGGCUAUGGCAAGGUUAAAAUAAGAAAAUAUUGGAGCCAGAGUGAAAGCGAGCUUGAUAAGAGCGUUAAGUCAUAGUUUACAGACCCGAACCCGGAUGAUCUAACCAUGGCCAGUGUGAAGCUUAGGUAACACUAAGUGGAGGUACGAACCGACUGUUGUUGAAAAAAUAGCGGAUGAGUUGUGGUUAGGGGUGAAAUUCCAAUCGAAUCCGGAGCUAGCUGGAUCUCCCCGAAAUGCGUUGAGGCGCAGCGACUAAUAUUUCUUUUUAGGGGUAAAGCUACUGUUUUGGUGCGGGCUGCGAGAGCGGUACCAAAUCAAGGCAAACUCUGAAUACUAAAAUGUUUAAUUAGUUAGUGAGACAUUGGGGGAUAAGCUUCAAUGUCAAGAGGGAAACAGCCCAGAUUACCAGUUAAGGCCCCUAAAUAAUUACUAAGUGAUAAAGGAGGUGGGAGUGCAUAGACAAUCAGGAGGUUUGCCUAGAAGCAGCAAUCCUUUAAAGAGUGCGUAAUAGCUCACUGUUCGAGUGCUCCUGCGCCGAAAAUGAAUGGGACUAAGUAAUUUGCCGAAGCUGUAAGAUGUUAAAACAUCGGUAGGGGAGCGUUCUACAUUAGUUUGAAGCGUUAGCGGAAGCGGGCGUGGACAAGGUAGAAGUGAGAAUGUUAGCUUGAGUAGCGAAAACAUUGGUGAGAAUCCAAUGCCCCGAAAACCCAAGGGUUCCUCCGGAAGGCUCGUCCGCGGAGGGUGAGUCAGGUCCUAAGGUGAGGCUAAUAGCGUAAUCGAUGGAUAACAGGUUAAUAUUCCUGUACUGUUUAUUGUUGGUAAAGGGGGACGGAGAAGGCUAGACCAGCCGAAUGUUGGUUAUCGGUUUAAGUAUUCAAGGUGU
rnacentral:rRNA from 1 species